rnacentral:piRNA from 1 species
UAUGUCAUGAAGAUUGUACAGAGC